rnacentral:rRNA from 1 species
CCUACGGGAGGCAGCAGUAGGGAAUAUUGGACAAUGGACGCAAGUCUGAUCCAGCCAUCCCGCGUGAAGGAUUAAGGCCCUAUGGGUUGUAAACUUCUUUUCUUUGGGAAUAAAAAGCGGUAUUCAUAUCGCCUUGAAGGUACCAGAGGAAUAAGCACCGGCUAACUCCGUGCCAGCAGCCGCGGUAAUACGGAGGGUGCAAGCGUUAUCCGGAUUCACUGGGUUUAAAGGGUGCGUAGGUGGCUUUGUAAGUCAGCGGUGAAAGCCUGGAGCUCAACUCCAGAAUUGCCAUUGAUACUGCAGAGCUUGAAUCAAGUUGAGGUGGAUGGAAUAUUACAUGUAGCGGUGAAAUGCUUAGAUAUGUAAUAGAACACCGAUUGCGAAGGCAGUUCACUAAGCUUGUAUUGACACUGAGGCACGAAAGCGUGGGGAUCAAACAGGAUUAGAUACCCUGGUAGUCCACGCCCUAAACGAUGCAAACUCGACAUUAGCGAUAUACAGUUAGUGUCCAAGCGAAAGCGUUAAGUUUGCCNCNGGAGACGACGCGAGUAGAACGACAANAGAGUAGAGGCGUGAGAGAGACGACGGACGACGACGAGGGAGGAGG